CCUACGGGAGGCAGCAGUGGGGAAUAUUGCACAAUGGGCGCAAGCCUGAUGCAGCCAUGCCGCGUGUGUGAAGAAGGCCUUCGGGUUGUAAAGCACUUUCAGCGGGGAGGAAGGCGUUAAGGUUAAUAACCUUGUCGAUUGACGUUACCCGCAGAAGAAGCACCGGCUAACUCCGUGCCAGCAGCCGCGGUAAUACGGAGGGUGCAAGCGUUAAUCGGAAUUACUGGGCGUAAAGCGCACGCAGGCGGUCUGUCAAGUCGGAUGUGAAAUCCCCGGGCUCAACCUGGGAACUGCAUUCGAAACUGGUAGGCUAGAGUCUUGUAGAGGGGGGAAGAAUUCCAGGUGUAGCGGUGAAAUGCGUAGAGAUCUGGAGGAAUACCGGUGGCGAAGGCGGCCCCCUGGACAAAGACUGACGCUCAGGUGCGAAAGCGUGGGGAGCAAACAGGAUUAGAUACCCUUGUAGUC
rnacentral:rRNA from 1 species